CAAGUUCGUGUGUGGCAAUCGAGACAGCUGUCUUUUAAUUGAGUUAGUGGGCGACGUUCACCGCCAUAGGUGCUGUGAAUUUGCGUAAAACAUUAGUUUUUAAUUUGAAUAUAUUUGUAACUUUCAUAAUAGAGUGCUUCACUGUACAACAAUAAAAUGUCCACUGAAGGCAAUGAAGCUCUGUCACCUCCAACGAGGCAGCCAAAUCCACAACAGUCUGCAGCUUCCAAAAGGUUGCAGCAAACACAGGCACAAGUUGAUGAGGUUGUGGAUAUCAUGCGUACAAAUGUGGAGAAAGUAUUGGAAAGGGAUCAGAAAUUAUCUGAACUGGAUGACCGUGCAGAUGCUUUGCAACAAGGAGCCUCACAAUUUGAACAACAGGCAGGAAAGCUUAAAAGAAAAUUUUGGUGGAAAAAUUGUAAGAUGUGGGCAAUCUUAAUUGGAGUAGUUCUUAUUAUAAUUAUUGUUAUUGUUGCUUCAAGUUUAGCCUAAAGCUGGAUGGAAUGGUGUUCAAAGAAAAUUAUCUGUGGAGUAUUCAGCAAGAUAGCAACCUUUUCUUUUGCUAGUUUAUCUGGCUAGUUCAGGAUUCUGCACCAUGAAAUUUUAAAUUUGUUUAAAAUGCAUGCAAACAAUACACAUAGAUCAGCCUUUGGAAGUGGACAAAUUUAUUGAAGCUUUUGAAACCCUCUAUUGACUGUUGUUGCAACAUGUUCCCUUCUGUAGUAACAGUGUUCAAUUUUUUUUUUUUUUUUUACUGCUCCAAGAUUAUUUAUUGAUUUUUUUAAACAAACAAAAAUGUUAUAAAAUGAGAUUUAUUGUAUGUUAAUAAAAUUUUUGUUCUUUUUGCAUGUUUUAUUUGUGCACCUUUUUUUCAUAAAUUCAUUGAUAGUAUUUGCUUAAAUAUUAAUUGUUUAAAUUUAUUCAUUUUCUUAAAAUAUAACUUCCUGCUUCAAAAAAUGUUUAAAAAUUGCAAAUUUCUGUUGCUUAAUUCUUUUAUUAGUAUUAUAUCUACAAAAUUCCUUUCGUAUUGUUUUUAAAAAAAUAAUUUGUGUGCUAAAUUUCGCAAUAAAUUUUUUUAUAUAUAUUUGCAUAUAUUCUGAUACUAAUCUUAAUGAUUCCAAAACUAAUAUUUUUCUUUCUUAUAAAUUCUUAGUUAUGUAUUUAUCCAUGAUAUGUAUUUGUCUUAGAGAAUUUAUGGCUUUCAUUUUGACUUAUUUUUUAUUUGUAUAUGGUAAAUUGUUUCUAAGCGUUUUAUACGAUUAUCACAUAGAUACAUAUAUCUGUGAACUAUAUCCCAUUUGUAUAAUAUGCCAGUUUGUCAAGUGAUUAGAUUGGUGUUUGCUCUAUUACGGUUGUUCUGUCAAUUGUACUAAAUGUUUAAAUGUAGGAAAAAUGAUGCGGAUUCGUGAAUAGCAAACAUGAACCGAUCUGCUGACAACUUACUAUUCAUGUAGUUCAUGUGCUUGGAUGUAUUAAAAUUGAGCAUAUAGACACCUUUGCAAACAAAAUGUGAAUUAGUAUCAUACUUGUAUGUUUCAGUUUUCUGCACUGUAUUAUGAAGUUUAAUAUACAUUCCUGGAGUUACUUAUCUUACACAUAAUGACACGUUAUUUUCUAAGUUGUAUUCAAACCUCAGUUUAAUCAUUUUAAAAUUACAUAACUGUUGGCUUAAUCUUGUAUUAAAUUUUUUUUAACAUUUGUCAUCUGAAAUUAUAAGCUUGAUUUUAGAGUUUUAAAUUCUUUAAUGUUGCAAUUUUUAAUUGUUUUGAAAAAUAAAUUGAGAAAGUAUGAAGUGUUGUAUUGGUCACAUGAUAGUUUAUAAAUUAUUCAGCUCUUGAUCACAGUCAUUGUAUCAGAGAUGCUUGGAGUUUUCAUUAUUGAACAGAAAUAAUAUAUUUGAUUUUUAGAUGUAUAAGCAUAAUUUACCUUAUUAUUAUUAGUAUUUAUAUAAUUAAUACUAAAAUAAAGAUUUAUGAUGCAAAAAUAAAUUUGUUUAUUUAAUCAAAUAAUUCAUAAGAGUUAGGAGAAAUGUCUUUCUCUAACCCAUCACUUUAUUAACUAUGCAAACAAUCUUCGGUAGAAGAGAUAGUUUGAAAAUAUUAAAUGGGAUGUUUCCAUACAAGCUUCUUAUGCAACAUCUUUUUUCCUAAAAUUAAACAUUAUUAAAUAGUUUUCUAACCAAUGAAAUAUAAUAAACAGCAAAAUUAAUCUUUAUUAUAUUAUAAACACAUUUAAUAACAUCUGUUUUUAAUAUUUUGAAAUGGAUUGUUACACUAUAUAUUCAUCUGCAGCAAAGCCAUCAGCUUUUGCUUUCAUGUCAUUAUGAAAAGUGUGUGUCUGAAUUUCAUUAUUAAUAUAAAAAAAAAAAAUUAGAGAAAUCUUCUGUAUGAAAUUUAUUUUGAGAAAUGAAUAAAGGGUGCAGAUUAAUGCUGUGUAAAGUCUUUCUGUAGACUUGAAUGUGUUAUUUAUUCUUAUGCAUUAUUCAUGUAAAAUAAUUUGUUUUUAAUCAAUGCUUUUGAAAUAUUGGUUAAGUUUUUUUUAAAUAAAAAGUUUAAUAUUAAGAAUAUAUAAUAAAGUGUAAAUUAGAUGCAAUAAUAAUUUCCUGACCUUUAUAUUGAUAAUUUCUUCAAGUCCAACAUAACAGGAAUUGGAAAUCAACAGCAUAGAAACUUAAAAUGUGUAAAAAUAGUCAAAAUUAUCCAGGUUACUCGGGAUUUUUUUAAAUUAUUUUUUUUUUAAAUUUAUUUAUUCUUUUCUGACUUUGAGUGGCAGACAAUUGUGGAAGCUGUUUUGUAAUCAAAUAUAAAUGUGUUUCAUUUUUUAUUGAAAUGUUAUUGGUAAAACAAAUGAGCUUAAUUAAUUGGAUGUAAAUUUUAAGAAAAAACAACUUAAGGAGGAUAUAUUUGUACUAAAUGUGAUGCAUUUUCCUUACGCUUGUAGUAUUUAACUAUAUUUAAGAAUUUACCAAUCCAUUAUAAAAUUUCUAUAUGCUUAUCUAUUUUAUGCAUACUUUGUAAGAUAAACUCAUAUAAUAGUUUUCUUUUAAGCUUUUAUCCUAUAUACUAGAAAUUAAUCUGUUGAUUGUCCAAAAACUUUGUCAAGUAUUCUCUGGUCCAUUGACUGCAAACUUUUGCCCUAUAAUAUUGUGAGAGAAAAAUCAUGUAUAUCAUGUGUUGUUGGAAAUAGAUUGUUGAAGUGUAAAGUUAUUGUGUUGUUCUUGUAACAUAACUAUUGCAUAUUGUCAUUGUUUUGAGAUUUGAGAAUGAUGAGCACAUAAAAUGUAUAUACAUAUAUGACAGAUUAAGUUAUUUAUUAACUUUUAGAAAAAUGGGAUUUGAAAAAUCAAUGUUUUGGGGUUUAUUGUAUGAAAUAAUCAGUAUUAUUUCAGUAAUCUGUGUAUUAUUUGAUGAAUGUUAAUAAAUUAAUUUAUCUGCAA